UAGCCCUGUAUGUGAAAAGUGAAUUAAGUGUGCAUCGAAGAGUAGAGCGAGGCACGUGAAACCUUGCUUGAACAUAGGGGGACCAUCCUCUAAGGCUAAAUACUAAUUACCGACCGAUAGUGAACCAGUACCGUGAGGGAAAGGCGAAAAGAACCCCGGCGAGGGGAGUGAAAUAGAACCUGAAACCGUAUGCGUACAAGCAGUAGGAGCCCGUUUACGGGUGACUGCGUACCUUUUGUAUAAUGGGUCAGUGAGUUACUUUUAGUGGCAAGCUUAACUUUCUUAGGGAGGCGUAGGGAAACCGAGUCUUAAUAGGGCGUUUAGUCGCUAGGAGUAGACCCGAAACCAGGCGAUCUAUCCANNNNNNNNNNGGAGAUAGCUGGUUCUCCCCGAAAACUAUUUAGGUAGUGCCUCAUGUAUUACUCUCGGGGGUAGAGCACUGUUUCGGCUAGGGGGACAUCCCGUCUUACCAACUCGAUGCAAACUCCGAAUACCGAGAAGUACAAUCAUGGGAGACACACAGCGGGUGCUAACGUCCGUUGUGGAAAGGGAAACAACCCAGAUCGCCAACUAAGGUCCCAAAAUUACAGCUAAGUGGGAAACGAAGUGAGAAGUCAAAGACAGCCAGGAGGUUGGCUUAGAAGCAGCCAUCCUUUAAAGAAAGCGUAAUAGCUCACUGGUCAAGUCGACUUGCGCGGAAGAUUUAACGGGGCUUAAGCUGUAUACCGAAGUUGCGAAUGCUUAUUUUUAAUAAGCGUGGUAGGGGAGCGUUCUGUAAGUCAAUGAAGGCAUAUUGUGAGAUAUGCUGGAGAUAUCAGAAGUGAGAAUGCUGACAUGAGUAACGAUAAUGCGGGUGAAAAACCCGCACGCCGAAAACCCAAGGGUUCCUGCGCAACGCUAAUCGACGCAGGGUUAGUCGGUACCUAAGGCGAGACCGAAAGGUGUAGUCGAUGGACAACAGGUUAAUAUUCCUGUACCGCGUAUACUGCGAUGGGGUGACGGAGAAGGCUAGGUUUACCGGGUGUUGGUUAUCCCGGGGAAAGUAUGUAGGUAGGAAGCUUUGGAAAAUCCGGGCUUCUAUUACUGAGGUACGAGACCAUUGAUUUUUUAAUCAAGAAGUAACUGAUGCCAUGCUUCCAAG
rnacentral:rRNA from 1 species